rnacentral:rRNA from 1 species
AUUGAACGCUGGCGGCAGGCCUAACACAUGCAAGUCGAACGAGUGGCGGACGGGUGAGUAAUGUCUGGGAAACUGCCAGAUGGAGGGGGAUAACUACUGGAAACGGUAGCUAAUACCGCAUACCAUCGGAUGUGCACAGAUGGGAUUAGCUUGUAGGUGAGGCAACGGCUCACCUAGGCGACGAUCCCUAGCUGGGCUGAGAGAAUGACCAGCCACACUGGAACUGGAACACGGUCCAGACUCCUACGGGUGGCAGCAGUGGGGAAUAUUGCACAAUGGGCGCAAGCCUGAUGCAGCCAUGCCGCGUGUAUGAAGAAAGCCUUCGGGUUGUAAAGUACUUUCAGCGGGGAAGCGGUACCCGGAGAAGAAGCACCGGCUAACUCCGUGCCAGCAGCCGCGGUAAUUC